AAAAGCCAAUUAAUUAAUAAGCUCAGUAUACUAUUUUGUAUUUUCAAAGCAAAUUAUUUUUUUAGGGAUAAACUGGCAGACAAUGUUAUAUUUUAUACCAUUCAAAAAACAAUAAACUUUUUUCAUUAAACUUGUUUAUAUUGUGUUUCAUUUAUUCAAUGUGAAUAAUGUAAACAUUGUUUGUACAAUUCUGUUUACUUUUUAAUAGGCUACCUCUCUUAUUACUUAUAUAAAAUCAUAAUGAUUUUUGUUCU